rnacentral:rRNA from 1 species
UACGGGGGGAGCAAGCGUUGUUCGGAUUCACUGGGCGUAAAGGGUGCGUAGGUGGUGGGGUAAGUCGGAUGUGAAAGCUCGGAGCUCAACUCCGAAAUGGCAUUGGAAACUACCCUGCUAGAGGAUUGGAGGGGGGACUGGAAUACUUGGUGUAGCAGUGAAAUGCGUAGAUAUCAAGUGGAACACCAGUGGCGAAGGCGAGUCCCUGGACAAUUCCUGACACUGAGGCACGAAAGCUAGGGGAGCAAACAGG